GAUGAACGCUAGCGGGAGGCUUAACACAUGCAAGUCGAGGGGCAGCAUAGAGUAGCAAUACUUUGAUGGCGACCGGCGCACGGGUGAGUAACGCGUAUGUAACCUACCCUGUACAGGGGGAUAGCCCGGAGAAAUUCGGAUUAAUACCCCAUAAUGAUAUCGAGAGGCAUCUUUUGAUAUUUAAAGCUUCGGCGGUACGGGAUGGGCAUGCGUGACAUUAGCUAGUUGGUAAGGUAACGGCUUACCAAGGCUGCGAUGUCUAGGGGUCCUGAGAGGGUGAUCCCCCACACUGGUACUGACACACGGACCAGACUCCUACGGGAGGCAGCAGUGAGGAAUAUUGGUCAAUGGGCGUAAGCCUGAACCAGCCAUCCCGCGUGAAGGAAGAAGGCGCUAUGCGUCGUAAACUUCUUUUCCAGAGGAAUAAAAUUUUGUACGCGUACAGAACUGAAGGUACUCUGGGAAUAAGCAUCGGCUAACUCCGUGCCAGCCGCCGCAGUAAUAC
rnacentral:rRNA from 1 species